GGGCGGGUGGCGGAACUGGCAGACGCACCAGACUUAGGAUCUGGCGCCGAGAGGCGUGAGGGUUCGAGUCCCUCCCCGCCCA
rnacentral:tRNA from 1 species